UGGAAGUGAUGAAAUGGAGAUAAUUGGAUGUCUCUUUGAAUGGAGUGUGUGUGAGGGACAGUCAAAUGGGGUGGAAGGAUGGGGGGGGGUGGGGGUGGGGGAGUGUGUGCGUGCAUGCUUGUAUAGAAAAGGCUUUAAAUGGGGGCACUGAUAAUGAAAGUGCUGAUUCCGGAGUGCAUCUGAGGCAUGUUGUUUUAAAUUCUGGGGUCCUACUUUCCAACAUUGCCAAUGAUUAAAGCCCAAGACAAGCUCACCAAGACAAGCCUAGGCAUCUUAAAUCUCUAACAGGUUCGUUAAUAAAAAUGAUCCUGUGAUCUGAUCCAA
ensembl:scaRNA SCARNA7 small Cajal body-specific RNA 7